rnacentral:snRNA from 11 species
GGGUGUCUCCUUCUUCCCUCACCACCCCAUGUGUGACCCUCCUGAUGCUGCACACUCGGUGGAAGAGGACGACGUCCCAGGUAUAGAAGGAGUGUACUGAGGUCUCCAGUCUUCGGUCCUGGGUAUAUGAUAGCUGCGCUUCCCUGCUAGAACCUCCAAACAAGCUGAACUUGUGAAGAAAAUUUCAUCAUGCAAUUAACACUUAGAAGGAUGAUGGAUUUAAAAAAUGUUUUAAUCUGUGGAU